CCACCCGCACGUAUAGAUGGACAAGAAUAGGCUUCGGCUUAGCGUCUUAGCAGGCGAUUCUUCCACGGCGCUCGAAGCGCGUCGUGGUAUUUCGCGUAUUGUAAUUUCAACACGAGCGGGGUCAAAUCCUUUGCAGACGACUUAGCUGUGCGAAACGGUCCUGUAAGCAGUAGAGUAGCCUUGUUGUUACGAUCUGCUGAGGGUAAGCCGUCCUUCGCCUCGAUUUCCCCAAUGGGUUCUCCGGAUUUCUGGAGACUUGUAGGGGUUGUGGGAUUUUUGAUGUGUCGUCUCCGGACGGGCGGUGCAGGGUAGUCGAGCUAGACUUGGUGGAAUUCCGUCGAUAGGAGUUCCGUCGAGUCUGGUCGGCUGUGUGUUGGACGGUGUAGGGUAGGCUGCUUGGACAUGGUCGGUUCGAGGAUCGAUUCGAGGGGCCGGCCUGUCGAUGAUGUGUGAUGUAUGCGGUCUAGGGUAGGCUGGUUUGUCUUGGUUCAAUUUGAUGUCGGCUCCCGUGCAGGCCAGAGUGAGGGGGUCCAGGGUAGGUACAGGGUAGGCAGCUUAGGUUUGGUCGAUCUGGAGGUCGAUUCUCCGGCUGGCGGAUCUGACACUGUCGAAACGAGAUGCGAGCGGUGUAGGGUAGGCUAGUUUCGUCCUCGCCAGGUUGCGAUUUGGACGAGAUGUGUGGUUUAGGGUAGGCUCUAGGGUAAGUAGAAUUCGAGUUUCGUCGCCGACAGUUUUCUGUGGGUGUAUGGUAGGUACAGGGUAGGCAAAUCUCUCUCCGGCCAGUACUUGUCUGGUGGUCGUGAGUCGAUUUUUUUGUUUUGCCAUACUAUUGAAUUUUGCGGAAAUUCAAAAGUGGCUCGGGAGUCCCGCCUGGCGUGCGUCCGACUCGAACAUCGUCGGUGUAUCAUAUGAGAGGGAGUAAUCCGGCCCGGCCGGGGCCCAUCGCGAGCUGC
rnacentral:rRNA from 1 species